rnacentral:rRNA from 1 species
AUUGAACGCUGGCGGUAGGCCUAACACAUGCAAGUCGAACGCGAAAGUCCUUCGGGAUGAGUAGAGUGGCGGACGGGUGAGUAACGCGUAGGAAUCUAUCCUGUAGUGGGGGAUAACGUUUCGAAAGGAACGCUAAUACCGCAUACGCCCCACGGGGGAAAGCGGGGGAGUCUUCGGACCUCGUGCUAUAGGAGGAGCCUGCGUCGGAUUAGCUAGUUGGUGAGGUAAAGGCUCACCAAGGCGACGAUCCGUAGCUGGUCUGAGAGGAUGAUCAGCCACACCGGAACUGAGACACGGUCCGGACUCCUACGGGAGGCAGCAGUGGGGAAUAUUGCGCAAUGGGCGAAAGCCUGACGCAGCCAUACCGCGUGUGUGAAGAAGGCC